UACAAUUAAUAAUUUAAAUAAGUUUAAUUUAUAAAUGUAAGAAUUUUAUUAUGAAAAUUAAGGAAUAAUUAUUAAGUGAAAUUUUAAUUAUUGAAAAAUUUAGAGAUUAAAGUUAAUAUUUAUUUUAUUGAAUUUUAGUAAUUAAAGUA
rnacentral:rRNA from 1 species